rnacentral:rRNA from 1 species
CCUACGGGCGGCAGCAGUGAGGAAUAUUGGUCAAUGGACGGAAGUCUGAACCAGCCAUGCCGCGUGCAGGAAGACGGCUCUAUGAGUUGUAAACUGCUUUUGUCCAGGGGUAAACCUGAAUACGUGUAUUCAGCUGAACGUACUGUACGAAUAAGCAUCGGCUAACUCCGUGCCAGCAGCCGCGGUAAUACGGAGGAUCCAAGCGUUAUCCGGAUUUAUUGGGUUUAACGGGUGCGUAGGCGGAAUGAUAAGUUAGAGGGGAAAUGUCCGAGCUUAACUCGGGAACUGCCUCUAAUACUGUUGAUCUAGAGAGUAGAUGCGGUAGGCGGAAUGUAUGGUGUAGCGGUGAAAUGUUUAGAGAUCAUACAGAACACCGAUUGCGAAGGCAGCUUACCAAUCUAUAACUGACGUUGAGGCACGAAAGCGUGGGGAGCAAACAGGAUUAGAUACCCCAGUAGUC